AAGACUAUAGACCUGCGGAGUACCUGCGGAGGGAUCAUUAACGAAUCUGAAACAAAGCGGCCCUGUGGGCUGAUGCUGGCUCCUUGGAGCACGUGCACGCCCCUGGGUUGCGCCUUCAAUUCGCUUACCCCCCUCCCCUGUGCACUCCAUGUAGGUCGUCGAUGGUGGUUGGAAACGACCCCGGCGGCGCCUACGAUUUUUGUAUGCACCCCGAUCGCAUGUAUAUGUGUGCAGCCUUUU
rnacentral:misc_RNA from 1 species